ensembl:lncRNA
GGGGGGGGUCCUGGUGCUGCCCCCCCCCCCCCUCAAAUGGGGGUUUUGGGGUGCAGGUCGCCAGCGGGCCCCUGGAGCCCACCAGGAGCUUGUGCCGGGGGUGUGCGUGUCCCCAAGGGUCCCCCCCUUUUAGGGUGGGACCAACCCGGGGGAGGUUCAGGGACGGUCCCCUCCCUCCCUCCGCACCCUGCUCAGGGCAGCAGGCGAAAAGCCCCGGCCAGCAAAGCACCGCGAGGGGCACCGGGACUCAGCAGCAUGGGGGUGCUGGGCACCGUGCGCCCAUCUCCCAGCGACAAAAGCUUCCCCAGCACCAGCUCCGUGUUGCCUUGACCCCAAAAUCCUCUUGCGAAGGACCCUUGCUGCCCCUUCCAGCCCCGGCAGGUCCGACCCCGAGGCGUUCCCCGGGCGGCACGGCUGGGUUUGUUGCUCCACCACCGGGACGGGGCGAAGGCUCCAGCCAGAUAGCUCAGGAGAUUAGGAGUCCUAGAAAGCAGCGGCCCUGCCCCAGGCGGGAUCAGCAGCGUCUGAGCCCUCCCCGCAGAUGUUUGUCUGCAAACCCUGGGGCGGCAGAGUCCCGGCCACCCUCCUGCCCCUGCCCCACGUGCUGUGACCCUGCCGGGGGGGACAGCAGGUCCCAAACAGCACCGGCCGUGUGCCCUCCCGCCCGGCUCUUGCCUUGCUGCCGCUUAUCUCUGCUGGGAGAUCGGCGAGGCAGCCCGCUGCCUUGUCUGGAAGCAGGGGAUCUGCUCCCUGGCUCUUAGGGCAUCGGCCCUUUAGGGUCCGGGCUCACCGUUCCCAGCAGCUGGGGGUACCCCCGUGGCCUAAAGAAGCAUCGACAGCAGCAUUUUGAACACUGGCUCGCUGAGGGCGCUUUGGGAAGGUCCCACCUGAGCGCACGGGCGCUGCUUCCCGUUGUCCCUCGCACCCGCUGGUGGCUGGCGCUCUGCCUGGGGACAAGGCUGCUGCAGGGCCCUGGGGUCCCCAGCCUGGGGUGACAGAAGCUGACGUCGGUGUACGGGACCCCGUUCUGGGGACCCAGCAGAUGGCACUGCCGCCUCAUCCAGACGAGCUGGGGACACAGCUGCUGCCCGUGGUGACAUCCCCGGGGACGCAGCCUCCCGGCCACCCGCUCCAGGGCACGCCUGGCCCCGCUGCUGCUGAGACAAGCGGGGUCCUUCCCCCUUCCCGAAGCGGGGUGGCCCGUCCUGCCCCCUGCUCCUCUUGGGGGGAGGAAGAGCAGCAGGAAAGGAGGCAACCUCCUCGUCCUCGUGCUCGAUGCCGGGCAGAAGCAGCCGAGCAGUUUCAUGCACGCCCGCUCAUCGGCACGUUCGUGACAAUUUUCCGUGGUUCUUUUUCAAAUGUUGUGUGAAGCCUCCCUCGGGCACGCACCCGCGUGUGCACCGGGACCAGCGUCACCGGCGUGGAUGGAGAGAUGGAGAUGUGCACGGGGAGAGGGGGGAAUGGCUGCGGGAGCAGGGAAGCAUCUAGGGAAGUGCUCGGGGAGGCAGAGGGGAAGCAGAGCUGCCCGUUACCUUGCGAGCACAAAGAGCAGGCAAGGGACCCAAUCUGUUGGAGAUGACAGCGAGGCCAGGACCAGCGUCUGAAUUAGCAUGAAGUGUUGCCAUUGUGUGAGGCACAAUGAGGACCAUAUGUCAGGGCCGGGGCUGGCAGCCGGGGACAGCAGAGGUUCGGGAGCCGAGGUGGGGCUCGAGCUUCCCUAACCCGAUUCCCACCUCCGGGCUGGAUGGGGUGGGAUGGAGACGUCCCCGGUGAGACCUGGAGGUGCUGGGAGCAGAGCUGGGGGCUCCAGUUCUCCAUCAGCUGCUCCUGCACCUCCCCACCUUUUCCUGCUGCCGGUGCGGGGGCUCUGCAGCCUCCCCGCGUCCUUCCCCCGCUCCCUCCCCAUCUUUAUUAUUUCCCCUUUGACGCAUCUCCGCUGAGCCGAGCUGCAGCCGAGGCCAAUUGAUUAUAUGAAGAAAUUUGGAGCAAGUCCGUGAACAGCUGCAACCUGCCCCCAGGGAUGCGCGGGAUCGGCGCAGACAAAGGAGAGGAGCCGCAAACUUGCUUCCCCGCACGGCGCGGGGUGGGCCGAGGAAGCGGGGAGAGCACCGGGGGCUCGCGGGGACAAGGGGGACCGGGGACAGGGUGGGGAUACGUUGGGAAGGGGACCGAGGGGGCUCUGCUGGGCAGAGGGGCACGGGCGAGUGACGGGUGGCUUUGGAGCCGGGGCUGCGCUGAUUUCCCAGGGGGGUGAAGGAGGAUUUAUUGGGCGCGUUCGGAGAUGCUGGUGCCUGGACCACGUGUCCUCAGCCCUCUGCUGUCACCAGAGGGACGGCACCGCUCGCGGGCUGCUUGUCCUGGCUAAAACAGUGGCUGUGGUGCCCAAGAUGGGCUCGGGUAACUCUUAAGGACUAGAAGGAAGCUUUCCAGCCUGGCUGAAGCAGCGAUCCAGACGAGGACGUUCAGCAUAAGCCCUGUGGCUUUGUUCCUUCCCCAUCUCCAGGAGGAACAUCACCGGGGUGCCCGUUCCCUGCCCGGAUUCAUUGCUGCACCCCACCCUGCAAGCACCCGUGUGCUCGCUGCCUGCAGAGCUGGGGAAAAGCCCAGGACUCGGCGCGAGCCCCAGCCCAGCCAGGACGAUGCUUCCCGGUCCUGAGGUCUUGCUGCCACCGCCUCCGGCCACAGGCGUGGGGAAUCCCACAGCUGCCGGGAGGAGAUGGUCAAAAGCAAGGUUAGAAAGAAAGAAAAAGGGAAGCCGGGCACUCCGAGUUCAAGAUCUCUCUUUUGCUGUUGGUUUAAUUCAUUUCCCCCUCCCUGACUUCCUCGUGAACUCAUAAAUAAUAAAUCCUUGCACAGUCUGAACA